GAAGUAUGAAUAAAUUUUCCAAUCCAUGAACACUAUCUGGAAGGGGUGAAUACUCCAGUUAGUCACCAACUUAACUUCUUCAUGUUCAAUGCGAUAGAAUGUGACACUGUCUCACAAAUUCCAAAAAUUAAACAGAAUAUGAACAAAACUAGAAAUAAAAUAAAGGAGAAAAAGAGGAGGAUUCAGAGGAGAACAAGGAGGAAGAAGAUAAAAGGAGGACUCCACUAAUCAGAGAAAAUGAAAAGCUCAUAAAAUGAAGUAUGAAUAAAUUUUCCAAUCCAUGAACACUAUCUGGAAGGGGUGAAUACUCCAGUUAGUCACCAGGUUAACUUCUUCAUGUUCAAUGAGAUAGGUAAGUGUUGUUUCAUCAAUAUGGUUCUGUCAUCAGUUUUUCUAAAGCAACCAAUUAUGUGGGUAGGAAUGUAAGUUGUUUGGGAGCUUCUGUGUGAUCUCAGUCAUCAAAACUCAAAUAGAUGUAACCCAUACAUGACACUGGAAUGGCUUUGCUAGUGAGAUAUGGCAGUUAGGUUCUACUCUCCC
ensembl:lncRNA